rnacentral:rRNA from 1 species
GGCGGCGUGCCUAUACAUGCAAGUCGAGCGAAUCGACGGGAGCUUGCUCCCUUAGAUUAGCGGCGGACGGGUGAGUAACACGUGGGUAACCUGCCUAUAAGACUGGGAUAACUUCGGGAAACCGGAGCUAAUACCGGAUAAUUUCUUCCCUCGCAUGAGGGAAGAUGGAAAGACGGUUCUGCUGUCACUUAUAGAUGGACCCGCGGCGCAUUAGCUAGUUGGUGAGGUAAUGGCUCACCAAGGCGACGAUGCGUAGCCGACCUGAGAGGGUGAUCGGCCACACUGGGACUGAGACACGGCCCAGACUCCUACGGGAGGCAGCAGUAGGGAAUCUUCCGCAAUGGACGAAAGUCUGACGGAGCAACGCCGCGUGAACGAAGAAGGCCUUCGGGUCGUAAAGUUCUGUUGUUAGGGAAGAACAAGUACCAGAGUAACUGCUGGUACCUUGACGGUACCUAACCAGAAAGCCACGGCUAACUACGUGCCAGCAGCCGCGGUAAUACGUAGGUGGCAAGCGUUGUCCGGAAUUAUUGGGCGUAAAGCGCGCGCAGGUGGUUCUUUAAGUCUGAUGUGAAAGCCCACGGCUCAACCGUGGAGGGUCAUUGGAAACUGGGGAACUUGAGUGCAGAAGAGGAAAGU